ACGGAGCAACGCCGCGUGAGUGAUGAAGGCUUUCGGGUCGUAAAACUCUGUUGUUAGGGAAGAACAAGUGCUAGUUGAAUAAGCUGGCACCUUGACGGUACCUAACCAGAAAGCCACGGCUAACUACGUGCCAGCAGCCGCGGUAAUACGUAGGUGGCAAGCGUUAUCCGGAAUUAUUGGGCGUAAAGCGCGCGCAGGUGGUUUCUUAAGUCUGAUGUGAAAGCCCACGGCUCAACCGUGGAGGGUCAUUGGAAACUGGGAGACUUGAGUGCAGAAGAGGAAAGUGGAAUUCCAUGUGUAGCGGUGAAAUGCGUAGAGAUAUGGAGGAACACCAGUGGCGAAGGCGACUUUCUGGUCUGUAACUGACACUGAGGCGCGAAAGCGUGGGGAGCGAGCAGGAAUAGAUACCCUGG
rnacentral:rRNA from 1 species